AACAUGGGAGUCCAAUGAGAAGGACUGGUCCCUUCAUGUCCCCCUCUAAAGCUUUGUAGGAACAAUCUGCUAAAAGAUUUUUGAAAGCUUAACCCCAAAAUAGCCUUUCAUUCCCAGAGGGGUGGGGAAGCCUCUUGCUUUCAGACUUAAUAAUGAUAUACUACACAACUCUUUUACAAUGCUUUUUCAUCAGGAGAUCAAAGUGUGAUAUAAAGGAGAGUGGUGGUAUUACCUCGGUUUUACAGAUGGGGAAACUGAAGCACGGGGAGGCAGAUGACUUGCCCAAGGUCACCCAGCAGAUCAGUGCAGAGCCCGGCAUAGAGCCCAAAUCUGCUGAGGCCCAGUCCAGUGCACUGUCCACUAGGCCAUACUGCCCCCCUGUAACUUAAAUUUCACGUUUCAACUUUCAUCAUCUCCUUUCCCCUUUUCAGAAGUUUCCUUCUCUGUUGAUGAAGAACUAACCAUUCGUUACUGCAAGAGCCUCCCACAAUAAACACACAAACACAAGGACUUGAAUUCGCCUGUUACUUGCUUGGACCGUGGCAAGGAAAUACUGACCAAAUGGAAAGAAGGAGCGUCUUCAGUUCUCCAAGAGGCACCAGCUGGCAAAGGCCACCUGUGAGACUGGGUGUUGCAAGCUAAGGAUCAGUGCAUCAGGAUCCAUCUGCUCACAAAUGUGUCUGGGUGCAGAUGUUCCCUGAGACACAGAGAGGUUGAGACUUGAGUGGCAGAGCCAGAACUAAAACACAGGAGUUCUGGUUCCCAGGCCCUGACCACACGUCUAACUGUGCCAUGUGACUGGUGGGCAGGCCGCGUGGUAGAUAAUUGGACACGGCAUUCCCAGGCAAUCAGAGUUUGAAGGAAGGCAGGCUGCGUGAUGGUACAAUUGAUCUGAAUUUCACUGAGCUCUAGAGUGAACCUGGAGAUGAUGCAGGCACAAACUGAGGGAGGGGAGCCCUAAUAAAUUGAAGCAGAAGAAUGGCAUGGAACUUGCAAAAUGAUUAAGUGAGAGACACUGACAUCGCAAGCCGCUUGUGUGCAGUCUACAGCUCUGUUACAGCCAGGCUUCUCUAAUGAGGACAGCAUCCUAUACUGCUUAUGUGCCUUGCUUGAAAGGGAGAACGCUGAACGCCAAAACUGAGCUGAUAGCUGUAUCUGUGUAUGGAAUUCCUGAUGGGAAACUAUCCAACCACCACUGAAAGAUUGAUGGCUAGAGACAAUCAUGUGAUCUGCGUCUUUCUUCAGCAGUCUGCAAAGAGCCAGCCUCGAGCAAGGUGGAGUGAAUUGUGCCUCUACCUUAGGGAGCAGCCUGCUUUGUCUCUCUCUCUCUUUUUGAUUCCUGUGUGGUGUCGUUCUGGAUUCUGAGAAUAAAUUAUGUUACAUUGCAGCCUCCCA